GUUCCCGUAGCUUACAUCAACUAAAGCA
rnacentral:tRNA from 1 species